rnacentral:lncRNA from 1 species
UAGACUUGUGCAUCUGUCAGUACGUCAACAACAUAACGAUACCACAGCUCAAGAAACUGGUGUAUAACUCGUGGUUCAUAAUCUUCAACCCCCAUUGAUUUCAACAAUGUCUUCACAAUUUUAGCAUCCCUCGGUAACUCCUCGUCUCCCUCAGACAUUUUCUUACUACCCUUCAACUGCACAAGAAAUUUAUAUCACUUUUAAACUGAUGUUCCAAACAUGAUCUUUUUUAUAUCACACGUCUGAUAAUUAUGAAGUGAGCAUUGCUUUGGAGACGAAGCUAAGUGCUAUAUAUAUAUAAAACAAGAAUGCAAAAACAUAAGAAUACACAAUUCAACUGUGACAAUUUAUUACCAACGAUUUCUAAGUAAACUACCAAAUAAAAGAGGCGCCGAACUCAUGGUUAAGUGUGGCAUUCGCAGCUAAAUUAAAGUGACCAUUUGAAUUAAGCCACUUCUGCCUGAGAGGAGAACUGACGCGGCCUCUAAAGGUCGCCGGAGAUGCAUUGCAUGGAGGGAAGGAUCCCCGAGAAGGAGAUGAAUUGUAAAGGGGAAAAGGGGGGUCGACGGCAGUGACUGAGAGAAGGAGAGGUAGAAGACGAAGAUUAGGGCUUUUUUCCCCUCUGCUUUCUCCUAUGUCCUCAUAAGUAGACAUUUUCUUCCCUAAUUUAAUCCAAUUUCUCAAAAAUAAUCGAAAAACUAUGAAUUCAAACUACCCAAAUUAAAUCAAUUGCCCUAAAAUCUCAAAGUACCCAGAAAAAAUAGAAUAAAACUGGACAAGAAAAAUAAGGAUAUCAUCCAUGAAAAGAAUAGAAAUAUCAGUAUACCCAAUUUUGAAGGUCAAAAUUAAUGUUUUGAUUGUCAUAUCCACCCCACUAACAAAAUUGUAGAUUCUCUCAAUAGUUUAAACUACAAAAUCUUCGCCCUAACAAAUCUGUAAUUCCUGUAGAUUGUCGUUCAUUUCAACUCCCCAAAAUCAAACUCAAUUUUACAGUACUUACCCAAAAAUCUAACAUCUAAAUGCAGAAAACAAAUCUUAGAGAGAUAGAAAUGCAGAGAUGGAAAAUCGCUCACCGUAACGUGGACGGAGGUGCAGUGGGGGGAGCGGCACUGUGGCUGGGCGACGGCGUGAGAUAUGGAGAGAGCUGGGAGAGGAGAGACUCGCGAGAUAGA